UUCCAGGUUAUUCCUCUGAAGCUUCCGGUUGCUGCGCUGUGGUGUUCGCCGCGGACGGGAUGGAGCGGGACCUGCUCCGCCAGGCGCUGGGUUUCCACGGCCCCGCGUUGCUCUCCCUGCUCCGCACCGAGCAGCACGAUAACUCCGACUUCCGGGGCCUCCUGCCCCCCGGGGGCCCCAGCCUGGAGCUGUCCCGGGAAGCCCAGCACCAGCCGCCCGCCAGGAAAGAGAAGAGAAUUGAUAACAUUGAGAUACAACACUUCAUUGCAAAAAAAGCUGAUCUCCUUUUUGCUCUUUCAUGGAAACCAAAUGUAUCAACAGAUUCAGAAUCAAAUGAAGAGAAUGAAGAUUGUUAUGCUGUUAUGCCAUCCCUGGAGCAGUUCAUGGAGGUGCCAAGUGAGGACAGGAGGGAGCUGUUUUUCCGAGACAUUGAGCGUGGCGAUGUUGUGAUCGGAAGGAUUAGUUCUAUUCGUGAAUUUGGCUUUUUCAUGGUGUUAAUCUGUCUGGGCAGUGGUGUCGUCAGAGAGAUCUCGCAGUUAGAAAUCACUGCUCUUUGUCCAUUGAGAGAUGUGCCUUCUCAUAGCAGCCAUGGUGAUCCUUUAUCAUAUUAUCAGACUGGAGACAUUAUACAAGCUGCGAUCAAGGACAUUGAUCGUUACCAUGAAAAACUCACAAUAUCACUGCACAGCUCUGCUCUUCCACCCAGUUUAUCUAGUACUAAACUGGGGGUAAUUAGUUCUGAAGACUUGCCUUUACAUUAUAGGAGAGGUGUUGAAGUAGCCAGUACUUUGGAGACGUAUGAAAAAGUCUUACAUCAUUCCUUGGGAUUUGCUAAUCCAUCAGUAGUUGAAUUUUUAUUAGGAAAACUAGGACUAAGUGAAUCCAGCCCUCCAUCGUUAAUGAGAGGCCUGCAAAGCAAAAACUUCAAUGAAGAAGACUUUGCCUUUGCACUGAGGAGAAAGCAAUCUGCAUCUUGGGCCUUGAAAUGUGUGAAGAUUGGGGUUGAUUAUUUUAAGGUUGGCCGCCAUGUGGAGGCUAUGAAUGAAUACAACAAGGCCUUGGAAAUAGAUGCCCAAAAUGUUGAAGCCUUGGUAGCUCGUGGGGCACUUUACGCAACAACAGGAAGCUUAAACAAAGCCAUAGAUGAUUUUGAAGUUGCAUUAAAAAACUGUCCAACCCAUAGAAAUGCAAGGAAAUACCUCUGUCAGACACUUGUGGAAAGAGGAGGCCAGUUGGAAGAGGAAGAUAACCUAUUAAAUGCUCAGAAUUAUUAUAAGAGAGCUUUAAUUUUGGAUGAAACUUUUAAAGAAGCGGAGGAUGCCUUACUGAAACUCCGUAAACAUAUGCAGGUGAUUCUUUAUUUUCUCUUAACUUUAUCUACUACAAUCAAAACUCAUAUUAAAAACAUUGGGAAGGGGGAAAUUAUUUACUGGUUACUGUGUCUUAUUCUCCUCUUUCCCCUCUUUCCAACACACCUGUCACAGUAAGUAUUAUGGCUGCAUCUACAAAAAGCAAGGUGCCUGUGGAUGGCUUGAUCAUUUCAGAUGGGCGUGGGAAGCAACAGCACAGCAGUCGGAUGCAGGGAAAGACCAGAACUCAGUAACUGUGUCUGAUGAAGGGGAGGAGAAAACAACCUGUUCACACAUGAGCGGGACUGCUGAUACGGAAUUAAGACUUUGGGUAUGUCUUUACUACCCGCCAGAUUGGCAGGCAGCGAUCGAUCCAGCGGGGAUUGAUUUAUCGCGUCUAGUUUAGACGUGAUAAAUCAACCCCCCGAGCGCUCUCCCGUGGACUCCUAUACUCCAGCGCCAUGAGAGGUGCAGGCAGAGUUGACGGGGGAGCAGCAGCAGUCGAUUCACCGCGGUGAAGACACUACACUAAGUCUAAGUACGUCCACUUCAGCUACAUUAUUCACGUAGCUGAAGUUGCAUAACUUAGAUCGAUCCGCCUCCCUAGUGUAGACCAGGGCUAUGUGUAGGGUAAAAUCCCCAAAUAGGUCAGUUUUAGACAUAUGCCAGAGGGUUGUAACUGGGAAUAUUCAAAGAGGAGCAGGGUAAGACUGAUCAGGGCUAGCUCAAAAGGAAGACAUUGUGUAUCUUCAUGUGGCACAAGAAAGAUCUUAAUUAAAGGCCUGGAGAAAGCUGGGGACACCAUGUCACUGAACCAAGCAGUUAUUUUCAGUUGAUAAUCCAGAAUUCUGCUGAACUUGUUGUGAGGUGCAAAUUAACAAGGCAGUUAUUUAAAAUGGAGAAAAAAAUAACAAUUAACCUAGGUCCAAGCUUUGGAGGAAAUAAUGGGGGAAGCAAGUUCCAGGGUUGUUUUUCUUUUCUCCCCUUCCCACAACAUGUUUCCUGAGUGAGCCCCUGGGGUCUUCAUGCCAAGCUCCUUUGUCUGUUGCCUCCUCUUUCUGUGGCUUUUUCAUUUGUCUCCUUUACUUACUUUGCUUCCAAAUAGGAUCUAAAAGAGUGAAUUAAAGUUAGAGAACUGGGGCACUGUACGCAACGCUUCUGUGCUGAAGGAAGUAAAUAGACUGGGGUAGAAGUGUGCAGGCUGGUUUCUUUAUGCAGGGCUUGAUUGACACUGCUUUAGCAGAUGGGGGAAGCGAGAACAUAAAAAGGUUUUGUUGGAGGAUGGGGAAAGAGGAGAUUUAUGGUCACCUUUAUUAAAGCUAAAUUAUACUCACAGUAUGUGGGCACUGCCAACAUAUUUGGCAUUAUCCAGAGAAAAGUAUUGUUGCUGUAACAAGGAGGCUUACAAUCUAGGUCUUGCAACCUAAGUCACAAAUAAAAGUGAUUUAAACAAGUGAAGGAAAUGGUUUUACUCUCAUUGCAAGUUAUACUGAUGGUGAUGAGGGUCACUGUUGCAGCUGAGGAACAUAAGGCUCUCUGUUCAGCAGUUUGUGUAAGUUUGCCCACAAUAAAUUAAGGGUUUCCCUUAUAUCAUAAGGCAGUAUCUCUUCUAUGACCAUUGCCAAGCCUUUGAGAACUGGUAUCCAGAGACUUGCUGCUCACCCUGGACAUGAAUUCCAACUGUUUCAAACCAUUUCAAACAGUACUAUGUUAAAGUGCCUCAGGGAGAUCUUAGUGCACACCAGCAAGGCCUACAUGGACCAGUUAGCACCUUAGUGUUUUUUAGAAAUUGCCUCCCACCCCGCCCCCACAGUGUAUAUUGUUGCACAAUGUAGACAAGCCCUUAGAGAGCUGUAGGGUACAGGAGCCUAUCCAGCUAAGAGCCUUAACUAGCAUGCCUUUAAUGAUUGAUUUGUUUAGUAACUGAAGGUUCGGUUACCUCUAAGUAAACCUUGGUUUACAUGUCUGUCUGUCUGUAGCUGCCCUAGUAGAAUGAUAUGAAUUACAGUUCAAAUGUAAAAUACUCUUUUCCUGUAAUACUGAUUAUAUGUUUUUCUUCAAUGCAUUUUCUUCUGAACUGGACCGUUGCUGCUGUGUCUGACAUCUGGUGCUGCUCAUCAACAACCCCCCACUGGAACAUGAUAUCUUAUGUAAUCAUGCAUCAAACUGGGCUGUGGUACAAUUACAAAAUGAAAUCUUUGGAAAUGAGGGAGAAGCAAGCGGCAAAAGAAGAGAGACAGAAGGAAAAGAAAAUAGAAACAAGUGCACAAAA